rnacentral:rRNA from 1 species
AACCUGCCCUUCAGAGGGGGACAACAGUUGGAAACGACUGCUAAUACCGCAUACGAUCUAAACUCGGCAUCGAGGAUGGAUGAAAGGUGGCCUCUAUUUAUAAGCUAUCACUGAAGGAGGGGAUUGCGUCUGAUUAGCUAGUUGGAGGGGUAACGGCCCACCAAGGCGAUGAUCAGUAGCCGGUCUGAGAGGAUGAACGGCCACAUUGGGACUGAGACACGGCCCAGACUCCUACGGGAGGCAGCAUG